AAAUGAAUAGACGGGGGUCCGCACAAGCGGUGGAACAUGUGGUUUAAUUCGACACUACGCGAGGAACCUUACCUAGACUUGACAUGUUUAUGACAGCCGUAGAAAUACGGUCUUUCAAGGGUAACCUUGAACAUUUACACAGGUGCUGCAUGGCUGUCGUCAGCUCGUGUCGUGAGACGUUUGGUUAAGUCCUAUAACGAGCGCAACCCCUGCCGUCAGUUGCAAUCCAGUGAUGGAGCACUCUGAUGGGACUGCCUGGGUAACCAGGAGGAAGGUGGGGAUGACGUCAAGUCAGCAUGGUCCUUAUGUCUAGGGCUACACACGUGUUACAAUGGCGAAUACAAAGGGUUGCGAAACCGUAAGGUGGAGCUAAUCCCAUAAAGUUCGUCUAAGUUCGGAUUGAGGUCUGCAACUCGACCUCAUGAAGUUGAAAUCGCUAGUAAUCGCGUAUCAGCAACGACGCGGUGAAUACGUUCUCGGACCUUGUACACACCGCCCGU
rnacentral:rRNA from 1 species